AUUCUUAUAAUUUAAGUUUAGAAUAUUGCAUUGAAGCUGCAAAAGUGAUCAAUGAUCUGUGAAUA
rnacentral:tRNA from 1 species